UAGGGUGCGAGCGUUAAUCGGAAUUACUGGGCGUAAAGCGUGCGCAGGCGGUUCGUUGUGUCGGCGGGGAAAGCCCCGGGCUCAACCUGGGAAUGGCCGUUGAAACUGGCGAACUGGAGUGUGGCAGAGGGGGGUGGAAUUCCGCGUGUAGCAGUGAAAUGCGUAGAGAUGCGGAGGAACACCGAUGGCGAAGGCAGCCCCCUGGGCUAACACUGACGCUCAGGCACGAAAGCGUGGGGAGCAAACAGG
rnacentral:rRNA from 1 species